GCAGUGAUGGUUCAGAGGCUGAAUUCUUGCCUUCCAUGCAGGAGACCCGAGUUCAAUUCCCAGCCACUGCA
rnacentral:tRNA from 1 species